UGGGGAAUAUUGCACAAUCGGCGCAAGCCUGAUGCAGCCAUGCCGCGUGUGUGAAGAAGGCCUUCGGGUUGUAAAGCACUUUCAGCGAGGAGGAAGGCAUAAAGGUUAAUAACCUUUGUGAUUGACGUUACUCGCAGAAGAAGCACCGGCUAACUCCGUGCCAGCAGCCGCGGUAAUACGGAGGGGGCAAGCGUUAAUCGGAAUUACUGGGCGUAAAGCGCACGCAGGCGGUUUGUUAAGUCAGAUGUGAAAUCCCCGCGCUUAACGUGGGAACUGCAUUUGAAACUGGCAAGCUAGAGUCUUGUAGAGGGGGGUAGAAUUCCAGGUGUAGCGGUGAAAUGCGUAGAGAUCUGGAGGAAUACCGGUGGCGAAGGCGGCCCCCUGGACAAAGACUGACGCUCAGGUGCGAAAGCGUGGGGAGCAAACA
rnacentral:rRNA from 1 species